rnacentral:rRNA from 1 species
CUCCUACGGGAGGCAGCAGUGAGGAAUAUUGGUCAAUGGACGCAAGUCUGAACCAGCCAUGCCGCGUGAAGGAUGAAGGCCUUCUGGGUUGUAAACUUCUUUUACCUGGGAAGAAACCACUUUUUUCUAAGAGUGUUGACGGUACCAGAGGAAUAAGCACCGGCUAACUCCGUGCCAGCAGCCGCGGUAAUACGGAGGGUGCAAGCGUUAUCCGGAUUUACUGGGUUUAAAGGGUGUGUAGGCGGCUUUUAAGUCAGCGGUGAAAUCUCCGGGCUCAACCCGGAAACUGCCAUUGAUACUAUUAGUCUUGAAUUUUGUUGAGGUAGGCGGAAUAAGUCAUGUAGCGGUGAAAUGCAUAGAUAUGACUUAGAACACCAAUUGCGAAGGCAGCUUGCUAAACAAAUAUUGACGCUGAGGCACGAAAGCGUGGGGAUCAAACAGGAUUAGAUACCCUGGUAGUCCACGCCCUAAACGAUGAUUACCCGACAUACGCGAUACACAGUGUGUGUCUGAGCGAAAGCAUUAAGUAAUCCACCUGGGAAGUACGACCGCAAGGUUGAAACUCAAAGGAAUUGACGG